AUAUAUAUAUAUACAAUAUAUGGUAUUGGACAUACGCGUUUGUAUACAUACAUUUUAUAUAUAUAUGUAUAUAUGUGCUCAUCCCUUUUCAUUAUAUAUUAACUUUUAUAUGAUAUGUUUUUUUUUUUUUUUUUUAAUAUCCUAGAGUUGUAAGAGCGUUGAAAAAAAAUAAUAGACAGAGUUUUAUGCAUCACAAGCGCACACACAUAUAUAUACAUCCUUAUAUUAUACAUCGUAAAUAAAAAAAGCAAAGGAUGGUUUCAUCAGAGUUUGAAAAUAGUAAAAUUAAGCUUCCUUAUGAAAACGAAAUUACGAAACAAAUCGUAAAUAAAAUUUUGGAUAAUUUAAAUGAUAAGCAACAAACGGCAUAUGUUGGAUAUAGCAUGAAUAAAAACCAAAUCGUAAAAUACUUUCAUGAAGCUGAGCAGUUAUUCAUUUAUCAUGACAUUAACAAAUCAGGUGAAAUCGACAUAAAAUUAUUUCCACAAAUGGCUAGACAACUAAAACAAGUUUAUAGUAUAAGAGAUGUUAAAGAAUUUGAAAAAGAAAUGUACAUAAAAAAAAUUGAUAAAAUGAAUUUGCCAAUUUUUUUGACAUUAUUAAAAAGAAGAAUGAAUCAACUUAUUGAUAGUGAUGAAACUUUUUUUAAACAUUUUAAUAUAUUAGAUAUGAAAAAAGAAAACAAAAUUGAUCUUAAAAAAGUAAGUGGUUUUAUUAAAACCGUGGGGGAUAAGGUAAAUUCAGAAAAUUAUGAAUUUUUUAUUAAAUACAAUUUGGAAAAUAAUAAAAUGAUACAACCAAAAGAUAUUGUAUUAAAUGAACAAAAUAAACCAACUGCACUUUUUUUUCCUGCCUACAAAAAUAUGUUAACUUUUUAUAAAUAUCUUUAGUCUAAUUAAAGAAAAAAUGAAAAAAAAAAAAAAAAAAACACAUCUAUAUAUAUAUAUACAAAUACGUACAAUACAUACAUGUUCCCUUUAAGUAGGCAAUUUUAAUCAUUAAACAUAUUUUUUUAUUUUUUUUAUUUUCCUGUACUGUAAUUAAAACUUUGUGUUAAUCGAUUUGGGUAUAACUAACAUUUGGGCAAUCAUAAAUAGUUAUUUUUAUGGUUAAGUCUGGUUUGGUACUUGUUUUGUUUUUUUAAAUACAAAAAUGCCAAUAUA
rnacentral:lncRNA from 1 species